UCAACUUCAACAAAGAAAACCCUCACAUAUCUCUUUAUAUACAAACCCACAUUUCUUCAACCAUCUAACCUAAAAUCAAGUAUACAUGAAGCCUUUUAUGAUGAUCUAAGAAGAUAACAACGAGAAGGGACUUCAAGGGAGCUUUAUACACACUUCUUGGAGCUUCAUAUCAUCUUCAUCUUAACGUCUUGCUUUCCUAGCCUAAGUGCUAGUAGCAAGUUGAGGAGGAGAGGCUAAGGUAGGAAUUUGAGAGGGAAGGCGGAAAACUUCCUCCCAAAAUGUCAUUACUCCUGUGACCGAGUUCAUGGCAGUUUUGUCGGUUAAUUUGAAGAUUGGUGGUUGUGAUGGCGUCCGGUGGCGGUUUAAAAAUCAUAAACAGUGACCUAGCUUGCAUGUAGUUAUAGUUUCGGGUGCCAGUAACCGGAUCAGGAGACCUGUAGCAAUCCGAAAGCAAAAUGCAGGUGUACCAAGUGACAGCAAAGGCUGCAAGUAAAAGAACUCCAAGGAUCCAACCUAACUGAGCCAAACACCAAGCUAAGGACAACACUCCGGACCCUAUCACCACAGCCAAGACAUGUGCACUUGUAGUAAGCAAUGUUCCUACAAACAAAACCAAGUAUUAUAACAGAUCCGCUAAAAAAAGUAACAGAUCUGAAUCUAUAGAUCCAGUAGAAACAACAUACCGAGAAGUUGAACCCAGUAGAUCUGAUGUCGGAAUCGCUGGAGAAAGAAACCCUAAAAUUUCACAGAUCUAAUCUAAGUCAAAUAACAAACAAAAAUUGCCGAUAAGGUUAAAAAGACGGUACCUGAGAAGUAAAAUUGUCGGUGAAAUCCGUCGAUCUAGUGAAAUCGCCAGUGAAAUCCAUAGAUCUAGUGAAAUUCACAGAUCUAUGUCAAAUGACAAACAAAAAAUGCCAAUAAGGUUAAAAGACGGUACCUGAGAAGUGAAAUCGUCGGUGAAAUCCGUCGAUCUAGUGAAAUUCACAGAUCUAAGUCAAAUAACAAACAAAAAAUGCCGAUAAGGUUAAAAAGACGGUACCUGAGAAGUGAAAUCCGUCGAUCUAGUUAAAUCGCCGGUGAAAUCCGUCGCCAUGAGACGUAUGCAGACACCACCGUCUGGUGUGAGAGAGAAAGAAGAAUGGGGGCGGAUGUGAAUGAGACUAUGCAGAAACCCUAAUCAGAUAGUGAUACCGUGUUUUUUUUAAUGAGUAGUACAUUAUGCAUCUGAUGUUGUACCCGUGUGUUUUGAUGUGUUGUGUGCUUUAGAGCAUUGUACAUAAUGCUUUAAGGGUGUUUUUAAGUAAUUGGCAAAUUACCUUAAGUUUCCCCUCGGAUAUGUAUUAUAUAUAUGGGAAAAGUGAAUAUGUGGCUGUUUCACAUCUAAGGUUAGAUGCGAAACCAUACAAAACUGUGUCGUUUUGAUUAAAAUCCAUUAUAAACUUAUUUUAUUAUU
rnacentral:lncRNA from 1 species